GGAGAGGUGCCGGAGCGGUCGAACGGGGUGGUCUCGAAAACCAUUGUCGGAGCAAUCUGACCCAGGGUUCGAAUCCCUGCCUCUCCG
rnacentral:tRNA from 1 species